UUGUAUUUGAUAAAUUCAACUUAAUAUUAAUAUAGAAUUAAGUUGUUACUGAAAGCUAAUGUGGAUCAUGAGGCUCAGUCACUACAGCUUUAGAUCAAAGUUCAUGAUUGAUGAAACAGACUAAAGUCUAACAAGACUGGACACACUCCUAGACAAUCAUUAAAUGCCAAAAAAUGUGUUGUGUGUUUAGUUGUAAAGUGUGACUUUUUUUUUCUGUGAAGAAAGUGACAGUGGCUUAUUGAGGAAAACGCUGACUAACUUUACUACAACAACAAGCUGGUUACAAACUGAAUGGUUGUAAACCCUGUUUGUGUGCCUGGUUACCAACAUGUAUUUGUAUUUUUUUUGUGUUAUUGCUACAGUUUUGAUGCCUCCUUUAUUGACCCCAGUGAUUUGUGCCAACUGUUUACCGUUGACAAAUGUUAACGCUGCCUCGUGUGGCCAGUCUGUAGUGUUGUGUUUCUGUAACAUUUAAAAAAUUCUAAAAUAAACUGGAUACUAACAAUA